GACGAACGCUGGCGGCGUGCUUAACACAUGCAAGUCGAGCGGUAAGGCCCUUCGUGGUACACGUGCGGGGAAGGGGAGAGUGACAGGAGCGUAAGCUUCCCCUCACCUCGGGUUUACUAUGGGAUACCGGAGCUAAUACUGAAAAUGACCACUUCAGGCUUCUGAUGGGGGUGGAAAGGUUCGGCGGGGCUGGAUGGGCUCGCGGCUUAUCAGCUUGUUGGUGGGGUAGUGGCCUACCAAGGCUUCGACGGGUAGCCGGCCUGAGAGGGUGACCGGCCACACUGGGACUGAGAUACGGCCCAGACUCCUACGGGAGGCAGCAGUGGGGAAUAUUGGACAAUGGGCGGAAGCCUGAUCCAGCAACGCCGCGUGCGGGAUGACGGCCUUCGGGUUGUAAACCGCUUUCAGCUGUGACGAAGCGCGAGUGACGGUACCUGCAGAAGAAGCACCGGCUAACUACGUG
rnacentral:rRNA from 1 species